rnacentral:rRNA from 1 species
GACGUAGGGCGCGAGCGUUGUCCGGAUUUAUUGGGCGUAAAGAGCUCGUAGGCGGCUUGUUGCGUCGGCUGUGAAAACCCAUGGCUCAACCGUGGGCUUGCAGCCGAUACGGGCAGGCUAGAGUUUGGUAGGGGAGACUGGAAUUCCUGGUGUAGCGGUGGAAUGCGCAGAUAUCAGGAAGAACACCCGUGGCUAAGGCGGCUCUCUAGUACGGUACUGACGCUGAGACGCGAAAGCGUGGGGAGCGAACGGG